rnacentral:rRNA from 1 species
UGCCUAAUACAUGCAAGUAGAACGCUGAAGAGAGGAGCUUGCUCUUCUUGGAUGAGUUGCGAACGGGUGAGUAACGCGUAGGUAACCUGCCUUGUAGCGGGGGAUAACUAUUGGAAACGAUAGCUAAUACCGCAUAACAAUGGAUGACACAUGUCAUUUAUUUGAAAGGGGCAAUUGCUCCACUACAAGAUGGACCUGCGUUGUAUUAGCUAGUAGGUGAGGUAAUGGCUCACCUAGGCGACGAUACAUAGCCGACCUGAGAGGGUGAUCGGCCACACUGGGACUGAGACACGGCCCAGACUCCUACGGGAGGCAGCAGUAGGGAAUCUUCGGCAAUGGGGGCAACCCUGACCGAGCAACGCCGCGUGAGUGAAGAAGGUUUUCGGAUCGUAAAGCUCUGUUGUAAGUCAAGAACGGGUGUGAGAGUGGAAAGUUCACACUGUGACGGUAGCUUACCAGAAAGGGACGGCUAACUACGUGCCAGCAGCCGCGGUAAUACGUAGGUCCCGAGCGUUGUCCGGAUUUAUUGGGCGUAAAGCGAGCGCAGGCGGUUUGAUAAGUCUGAAGUUAAAGGCUGUGGCUCAACCAUAGUUCGCUUUGGAAACUGUCAAACUUGAGUGCAGAAGGGGAGAGUGGAAUUCCAUGUGUAGCGGUGAAAUGCGUAGAUAUAUGGAGGAACACCGGUGGCGAAAGCGGCUCUCUGGUCUGUAACUGACGCUGAGGCUCGAAAGCGUGGGGAGCGAACAGGAUUAGAUACCCUGGUAGUCCACGCCGUAAACGAUGAGUGCUAGGUGUUGGAUCCUUUCCGGGAUUCAGUGCCGCAGCUAACGCAUUAAGCACUCCGCCUGGGGAGUACGACCGCAAGGUUGAAACUCAAAGGAAUUGACAGGGGCCCGCACAAGCGGUGGAGCAUGUGGUUUAAUUCGAAGCAACGCGAAGAACCUUACCAGGUCUUGACAUCCCGAUGCUAUUUCUAGAGAUAGAAAGUUACUUCGGUACAUCGGUGACAGGUGGUGCAUGGUUGUCGUCAGCUCGUGUCGUGAGAUGUUGGGUUAAGUCCCGCAACGAGCGCA